AAGGACAUCAACGGAGGGCAGAAGGCCAUGUGAAGACAAAGCGGACACUAGAGUGAAUCUGCUGAGAAGAGAAGAUUGGCCUCAGACACUUCCGUCUUCAGACCUGUGCCUCUCCUUUGAGGAUCCCUUCCCCGAAGCUGCCAAGGAGAACCUUCCCUCACAUUGUUCCUCCUUUGUUCCCCGCUCUCCUUUUCCAGGCUGAGAGACCUGGGGCCUUGGAAGCAAGCACACGCUGGCUGAGCUGUGAUUCCUCCAUGUUGAUUAUAAUUUUUAUCACAUUAUAUGGGAUCCCUCUGGUGGUUACUAGGGGAUACGUCAGUUUUGAGAGAUUGGAACCUAACCAAAGAAGCUUCAAAUCUAGAGGAUAAGGGGACUCAGAGUUUACAAGUCACAGCAAGCAGAUGCUGGUCUGCUUUAGGUGCCUCUUACGGGGAUUGUGAGAGGGCUCCUGGGGCCUGAGGAGGGUCUUCUGAGGUGUGAAAGGCUGUACUGGUGGUCCCUGAAAGCCAUCGUCAUUUGUGUGAGGAGGAGUACUGGAGGAGCUGUCUUACCACAUGAAAAACAGCAUGGAGCAUCCCAGCCACAUCAAAGGCACGGUUUGAGCCUUGGGCUGUAGAGGCUCAGAGAGAGUGACAAAUAAGACCCUGGUGAGAGACCAAUGGGGACAGUAUUUCCAGACUUUGGCAUGAAACAGAUUUCUGAGCACCUCAUGAAAUGUCUGCAAGGGCAGCUCCUCAGAGUGACCCUCCCAAAUCAAUCAAAGCUGGCCCCCUAUCUUAAUUAUGACUUACAAAUAGAAGCAUGCACCUGGCUGGAUGCAGUUUGCCACAUGGUUUACAAUAGCGGUAGAAUAAGAAAUAACUUACCAAACGAGUACAUUUUCUUGGCUGGCUGGGGCACUCAGAGUUGACACUGGUAAGGCUCCAUUAAAAUGCCUUUAUGUUCUGAUAUACACAGAUGUGUUAAUUUAUAGCAUAUUCAUCAGAAGACAUAAAUUAAUUGCUCUCUGAUGAAUUUUAUAACACCUCCUUUAUGCCUCUCCACCCUCCCCCUCCAAAGUACACUGAAAAGGUCAACAGCACUAUCGAAUGCAGCACACUUCAACUUCCUUCCAAGCUUAUAAUUAAAGCUAAUUAGUAGCUUUGGUAAUUAGCGCAUGUAAGCUUUCUGCUUUCUGAAUUAAUAAGACUGAGUCAGGUUUUGAGCCAAGUAGACUUUUCACUCACUGGUUCUGAUUCUUGAACUGUGUUUGGCUGGUUAAUUUAAAACAUGUCUGUUGAAAGUGGAAUACUAGAAAGAAAACAUACUUGUGAUGGUCUGCUCUCAAGCCAGUGUGAUUUAUGAACAGGCCAAAGUGGAACUGUUGUCACAAGAGAAAAUCAGAAUGCUCUGGGUUUCCAAUAACUGACCAGUCUCAACCUCUCAGUGUGAAAUGAGUUGUGCCCAGUUACUAUGUCACAUGGACACAACACAACGUCAAGGAUGCCCUUGCACACUUAUGUCACCCUCUCAUAACACAUCUGUACUAAGCACAUCAAAUCCUCUUUAUUUUAGGAGAAUGCAGAGGCAAUGGCAGUGGGGUGCCAAGAUAUAACUAACUGCUCAUUUUGAUUCAAAUAAAAAUCAAAGAGGAGAAAAAUCA
ensembl:lncRNA novel transcript, antisense to FHIT